rnacentral:rRNA from 1 species
CGUAUAUUUAAGUUGUUGCAGUUAAAAAGCUCGUAGUCGGAUUUUGGCUGAGAACGGUCGGUCCGCCGUUAGGUGUGCACUGACUGGUCUCAGCUUCCUGGUGAGGAGGUGUGCUUCAUCGCCACUUAGUCACCGUGGUUACUUUGAAAAAAUUAGAGUGUUCAAAGCGGGCUUACGCUUGAAUAUAUUAGCAUGGAAUAACACCAUAGGACUCCUGUCCUAUUUCGUUGGUCUCGGGACGGGAGUAAUGAUUAAGAGGAACAGUUGGGGGCAUUCGUAUUUCAUUGUCAGAGGUGAAAUUCUUGGAUUUAUGAAAGACGAACUUCUGCGAAAGCAUUUGCCAAGGAUGUUUUCAUUGAUCAAGAACGAAAGUUGGGGGCUCGAAGAUGAUUAGAUACCAUCCUAGUCUCAACCAUAAACGAUGCCGACUAGGGAUUGGCGGAUGUUAAUUGAUGACUUCGCCAGCACCUUAUGAGAAAUCAAAGUUUUUGGGUUCCGGGGGGAGUAUGGUCGCAAGGCUGAAACUUAAAGGAAUUGACGGAAGGG